AGCUCAAUCUAAUAGUUGAUUUGAAGGAUAUUGAGGUUUAAGUGGAUCAAGGUCUCAGAAAGUAGAAUUUUACAUAUAGUGAGGAUUUUUAAGAUUUCUUGAAAUCUACUAGUUGGAUUGGAAUGAAACUUAUGUGAGAUGAUACAAGACUUAUUUUUCUAUGUUUAUGAGAAUUUUGAAAUCAAUCGAACGGUGCAAAGGAGAUAUAUUGGCUCUCGAAGAUUGACAUCAAGAUUGGAGAAGGAGGCCAACCAAUACUCGAGUACAUUUUUGAGGUUAUUGUCAAUUUGGUUACUCCGAUCCUUUUCAAUUUUUUUGUGCUUGCUUUUAACUUAUUUUUUAAGAAGUGUGCGAAAUUUUAAUUAAGAUCGAUGGUUUAUUUAUUAGUUAUUGAGGUUUAAAUCUAUUAUAGGAAUUACUAGGAUUUGCUUUAGGAUUUGAUUAGGGUUUGGUUAGGAUUUGGUUUAGGAUUUGGUUUAAGGUUUGAUUAGGGUUUGGAUUAGGAUUUGAUUUAGGAUUUAGGAUUUAGGAUUUGGUUAGGAUUUGGUUUAGGAUUUAAGGUUUAGAUUAGGGUUUGAUUUAGGAUUUAGGAUUUGGUUAGGAUUUGGUUUAGAAAUUAGGAUUUAGGGUUUGGAUUAGGGUUUGGUUUAGGAUUUGGUUUAGGAUUUAGGAUUUGGAUUAGGAUUUGAUUUAGGAUUUGGAUUGGAAUUUAGGAUUUGGUUAGGGUUUGAUUAAGGGUUUAGGAUUUGGAUUAAAAUUUGGUUAGGAUUUGGUUUAGUUUUUGGUUAUAAUUUGGUUUAGGAUUUGGUUGGGAUUUGAUUUAAGAUUUGUUUAAGAUUUGAUUAAGGAUUUAGGAUAUUAUUAGGGUUUAAGAUUUAAUUAAUUUUGGCCUAAAGUUCUAAUGAAGUUCAAUAGGAUUUUGACUAGAAUUAAAUAAAGAUUGAAUUGACAUAUAUUUGAGUGAUAUUUGUGAUCAUUCUAAUAUUUCUUUAAGAAUUCUUAUUGUUGGUUUGAAAUUUCUUUGAAGUUUUUUUUUAAUUUGAUUAAGCUUGCUUACUAUUAUUAUGGUAUAAUUAGAGAAUUAUUAGUAUUCUAUUAGAAUUAAGAUUUUGUUAUUGUAAUUUCUAUUCUUCCUUCCAUACCUAGAUGCUCGAAGCAUUCUCAAGUAAGACUUCACGUAU
rnacentral:lncRNA from 1 species